rnacentral:rRNA from 1 species
UACGUAGGGGGCAAGCGUUGUCCGGAUUUAUUGGGCGUAAAGAGCUCGUAGGCGGUUCAGUAAGUCGGGUGUGAAAACUCUGGGCUCAACCCAGAGACGCCACCCGAUACUGCUGUGACUUGAGUACGGUAGGGGAGUGGGGAAUUCCUGGUGUAGCGGUGAAAUGCGCAGAUAUCUGGAGGAACACCGGUGGCGAAGGCGGCAUCCUGGACCGGCAUUGACGCUGAGGAGCGAAAGCCAGGGGAGCAAACGGG